rnacentral:lncRNA from 1 species
CGUUUGGUUGUGAAUAUUUUUAAAAACUUAACGAUAAAUCCUCCUUUGUUGAUUAAUUAUAGUCCUAAGGACUUCAUUACAACACAAGAGUUCAAAGAUAGAUAAUUUAUAAUAAAAAUAUCAAAUAAUUUUUAUUAAUAAAAAUUUAUAUACAAUUUACAAGAUGAGCACAAUCGUCUAAUAAUUGACUUUGAGACACAUUUUUCAACACCAGAGUAGAAGAAGAAUCUAUGGCAGAAGGAG